rnacentral:lncRNA from 10 species
UUCCGCUCCUCAAGACCGCACCUCCCCCGGCUCCUUCUCACUACCGAAACUCACCGAAGGAAACAGACGCCAGUGCUCCUCCCGGGGCUGCCACCACGGCUCCGGCAGGCGGGCCGGGGACCGGCCGAACCUGAGUUGACGGUGGAGGGGCUCGGGUUAGCUAGAUGGGCGGUUGGUUAGAUGCCGGCCGCCAGCUCCUGCUCGGUGUCCAAAACAAAAUGGCCGCCACGUCCAGUGCUUGUCUGACCGGCUAAAAUGGCGUCUACGCAAUUACGUCAGGCGUCAGAUCCGCGCACGACUAGAGGGCGGGAAAGAUUUGAGCUACGCCUGCGCAGAGAUGGAGUCUCGCUGUGUCACCCAGACUGGAGUGCAGUGGUACCAUCUCGGCUCACUGCAACCUCCGCCUCCCAGGUUCAAGCGAUUCUCCUGCCUCAGCCUCCUGAGUAGCUGGAAUUACAGUUGAGAAGCUGAUGUCUCCUCGACUUCCAACUGGAACCUUGAACCCCCACAUUUCUGGACCUUGAGCAUUCCUCAAGUAGGAAGAUGUAAUGCACCUUGACCUCUUUCUAAAUAAGACACUUCCCCAAAUAAGGGGAGUUGAGAGUGAACAGUCUUCACGUCUCCACCCACUUCCAGAUCCCAGAGGAGACAGACAUCGGAUGGCUGAAGAAAUUGUUACAGGCCACUGUGAGAGCAGCCACAAGCACCACAUACUCCUGGAAGUCCACCUCCCCGUCUCCAUUCUCGUCUAGCUCCUUCAUCACCUUGUCCACAGCAUCCACAUCCUUCUGGGCCUGUGGUGGGAGGAGAGGAAGAGGGAGGUGUAUAGGGAAGGGUACAGCACUGAGUCAGAGGCAAGGGGGUGGUUGAGGAGCAGGAGGCAAAGAUGAGCGAGAGGAACUGCAUUGAAUUAUGGGACUCUUCUAGGCCUCCUCAAAGGUCUUGAGGGCUUCUGUUGCCUACAGCAUAAGCUCUUUCACCUGGCAGAAUGAAUAAUAAUG